GAUCGCAUGGAGAAGUCUGACGGACACGCCGCGUGAGUGAUGAAGGCUUUCGGGUCGUAAAACUCUGUUGUUAGGGAAGAACAAGUGCUAGUUGAAUAAGCUGGCACCUUGACGGUACCUAACCAGAAAGCCACGGCUAACUACGUGCCAGCAGCCGCGGUAAUACGUAGGUGGCAAGCGUUAUCCGGAAUUAUUGGGCGUAAAGCGCGCGCAGGUGGUUUCUUAAGUCUGAUGUGAAAGCCCACGGCUCAACCGUGGAGGGUCAUUGGAAACUGGGAGACUUGAGUGCAGAAGAGGAAAGUGGAAUUCCAUGUGUAGCGGUGAAAUGCGUAGAGAUAUGGAGGAACACCAGUGGCGAAGGCGACUUUCUGGUCUGUAACUGACACUGAGGCGCGAAAGCGUGGGGAGCAAACAGGAUUAGAUACCCUGGUAGUCCACGCCGUAAACGAUGAGUGCUAAGUGUUAGAGGGUUUUCCGCCCCUUUUAGUGCUGAAGUUAAC
rnacentral:rRNA from 1 species